rnacentral:misc_RNA from 1 species
UUAUCAACUGAGGAAGCAGAAGAUGCUACACAAGUGGGCAAACUUCGUUCAGCUCUUGAGUCUGUUGAUCACAAAAGAAGAAAGAUUUUGCAGCAAAUGAGAAGUGAUGUAGCCUUGUUAACAUUGGAGGAUGGUGGGUCACCUAUUCAUAAUCCUUCUACUGCUGCUGAGGAUGCACGAUUAGCAUCUCUCAUUUCUCUUGAUGGCAUAUUGAAGCAAGUCAAGGAUAUAGUGAGACAAUCCUCUGUAAAUACCUUGAGUAAAACUAAAAAGAAAGCAAUGCUUAGUUCUUUAGAUGAACUUGCAGAAAGGAUGCCUUCCCUUCUUGAAAUUGAUCAUCCAUGUGCACAGAGGCAAAUUGUAGAUGCUCGUCGUGUGGUUGAGUCGAUUCCUGAAGAAGAUGACCAGCUUCAUGAAUUGGUACAUUAUAGAAAAUCUCCUGCAGAUUUGGGGUCUAGUACUGAUGUGGCACAGUGGAAUGUUUUGCAAUUCAACACAGGCUCCACAACACCGUUUAUCAUCAAGUGUGGAGCAAACUCAAAUUCUGAAUUGGUCAUCAAAGCCGAUGCCCAUGUUCAGGAACCUAAAGGUGGUGAAAUUGUAAGAGUUGUUCCAAGACCGUCUGUGUUGGAAAAUAAGAGCUUGGAGGAAAUGAAACAGGUAUUCUUCCAACUUCCUGAGGCUCUAAGCUUGCUAGCCUUAGCAAGGACUGAAGAUGGUACCCGAGCUCGGUAUUCUAGACUGUAUAGAACUUUGGCCAUGAAAGUUCCGUCAUUGAGAGACCUAGUCGGUGAGCUUGAGAAGGGGGGAGUACUAAAAGAUGUGAGAUCAUGAAUGCAUAGUGUAUUGAGAGGUCAUUGUAUGCGUUCUAGUUCUACUGUGGUUUAUUGUGCUUGGCUGUAUUAAUGAUUUUGUUUCUUUUUUGGUGGGAAGGGGGUGGGAGAAAGAAGGGUUGUGUGUUGAAAGCAAUUGGUUUGUAGUUAAUUAUGGGAGAAGGAAAUCUUUGUAUUUGAUACUUUGUAGUGCAUAAACAGUAUAUUGUAUCACACGUAUGCUCUGAAAUUG